rnacentral:tRNA from 1 species
UCCUCUUUAGUAUAGUGGUGAGUAUCCCCGCCUGUCACGCGGGAGACCGUGGUUCGAUUCCCCGACGGGGAG